CCUACGGGAGGCAGCAGUGGGGAAUUUUGGACAAUGGACGCAAGUCUGAUCCAGCCAUGCCGCGUGCGGGAAGAAGGCCUUCGGGUUGUAAACCGCUUUUGUCAGGGAAGAAAAGGCUCUUUCUAAUAAAGAGGGCUCAUGACGGUACCUGAAGAAUAAGCACCGGCUAACUACGUGCCAGCAGCCGCGGUAAUACGUAGGGUGCAAGCGUUAAUCGGAAUUACUGGGCGUAAAGCGUGCGCAGGCGGUUGUGCAAGACAGGUGUGAAAUCCCCGGGCUUAACCUGGGAACUGCACUUGUGACUGCACGGCUAGAGUACGGUAGAGGGGGAUGGAAUUCCACGUGUAGCAGUGAAAUGCGUAGAUAUGUGGAGGAACACCGAUGGCGAAGGCAAUCCCCUGGACCUGUACUGACGCUCAUGCACGAAAGCGUGGGGAGCAAAUAGGAUUAGAUACCCUGGUAGUCCACGCCCUAAACGAUGUCAACUGGUUGUUGGGAGGGUUUCUUCUCAGUAACGUAGCUAACGCGUGAAGUUGACCGCCUGGGGAGUACGGCCGCAAGGUUGAAACUCAAAGGAUUGACGG
rnacentral:rRNA from 1 species